rnacentral:rRNA from 1 species
GACGAACGCUGGCGGCGUGCCUAAUACAUGCAAGUAGAACGCACAGUUUAUACCGUAGCUUGCUACACCAUAGACUGUGAGUUGCGAACGGGUGAGUAACGCGUAGGUAACCUGCCUGGUAGCGGGGGAUAACUAUUGGAAACGAUAGCUAAUACCGCAUAAUAUUGAUUAUUGCAUGAUAAUUAAUUGAAAGGUGCAAUUGCACCACUACCAGAUGGACCUGCGUUGUAUUAGCUAGUAGGUGAGGUAACGGCUCACCUAGGCGACGAUACAUAGCCGACCUGAGAGGGAGAUCGGCCACACUGGGACUGAGACACGGCCCAGACUCCUACGGGAGGCAGCAGUAGGGAAUCUUCGGCAAUGGACGAAAGUCUGACCGAGCAACGCCGCGUGAGUGAAGAAGGUUUUCGGAUCGUAAAGCUCUGUUGUAAGAGAAGAACGGGUGUGAGAGUGGAAAGUUCACACUGUGACGGUAUCUGACCAGAAAGGGACGGCUAACUACGUG